CCUGCUCAAUGAAAAUAUAAAUAGCCGCAGAUAUUUCUGUGCUAAGGUAGCAUAAUCAUUUGUUUUUUAAUUAAAAACUAGAAUGAAAGGUCUAACGUUUUAAUUAUUCUAUCAAUUAUAUUAAUUUAAUUUAUAUUAAAUAUAAAAAUAUAUUUAUAAAAUAAAAAGACGACAAGACCCUAUUGAACUUAACUUAUGUUAAGCUGGGGCAGCUAUUUAAUAAUUAUUUUAAUUUUAUUAUUCUAAAAAUUAUCCAAUACAAUUGAUUUUAUUACCAAGUUACCAUAGGGAUAACAGCAUAAUAUUAUUCAUAAGUUCUUAUUUAAAAUAAUGUUUAUGACCUCGAUGUUGAAUUAUUAUUCUAUACUUAAUGCAACAGUUGUAUAAGUAGGUCUGUUCGACCUUUAAUAUAUUACA
rnacentral:rRNA from 1 species